rnacentral:rRNA from 1 species
GGAGCUUGCUCCUUGAUUCAGCGGCGGACGGGUGAGUAAUGCCUAGGAAUCUGCCUGGUAGUGGGGGACAACGUUUCGAAAGGAACGCUAAUACCGCAUACGUCCUACGGGAGAAAGCAGGGGACCUUCGGGCCUUGCGCUAUCAGAUGAGCCUAGGUCGGAUUAGCUUGUUGGUGAGGUAAUGGCUCACCAAGGCGACGAUCCGUAACUGGUCUGAGAGGAUGAUCAGUCACACUGGAACUGAGACACGGUCCAGACUCCUACGGGAGGCAGCAGUGGGGAAUAUUGGACAAUGGGCGAAAGCCUGAUCCAGCCAUGCCGCGUGUGUGAAGAAGGUCUUCGGAUUGUAAAGCACUUUAAGUUGGGAGGAAGGGUUGUAGAUUAAUACUCUGCAAUUUUGACGUUACCGACAGAAUAAGCACCGGCUAACUCUGUGCCAGCAGCCGCGGUAAUACAGAGGGUGCAAGCGUUAAUCGGAAUUACUGGGCGUAAAGCGCGCGUAGGUGGUUUGUUAAGUUGGAUGUGAAAGCCCCGGGCUCAACCUGGGAACUGCAUCCAAAACUGGCAAGCUAGAGUACGGUAGAGGGUGGUGGAAUUUCCUGUGUAGCGGUGAAAUGCGUAGAUAUAGGAAGGAACACCAGUGGCGAAGGCGACCACCUGGACUGAUACUGACACUGAGGUGCGAAAGCGUGGGGAGCAAACAGGAUUAGAUACCCUGGUAGUCCACGCCGUAUACGAUGUCAACUAGCCGUUGGAAUCCUUGAGAUUUUAGUGGCGCAGCUAACGCAUUAAGUUGACCGCCUGGG